AGUGAACGCUGGCGGCAGGCCUAACACAUGCAAGUCGAGCGGCAGCGCGGGGCAACCUGGCGGCGAACGGCGGACGGGUGAGGAAUGCAUCGGAAUCUACCUAGUUGUGGGGGAUAACGUAGGGAAAGUUACGCUAAUACCGCAUACGACCUACGGGUGAAAGGGGGGGACCGCAAGGCCAAACGCGAAUAGAUGAGCCGAUGCCCGAUUAGCUAGUUGGCGGGGUAAAAGCCCACCAAGGCGACGAUCGGUAGCUGGUCUGAGAGGAUGAUCAGCCACACUGGAACUGAGACACGGUCCAGACUCCUACGGGAGGCAGCAGUGGGGAAUAUUGGACAAUGGGGGCAACCCUGAUCCAGCCAUGCCGCGUGUGUGAAGAAGGCCUUCGGGUUGUAAAGCACUUUUGUUCGGGAAGAAAAGCCGCCGGUGAAUAUCCGGUGGUGCUGACGGUACCGAAAGAAUAAGCACCGGCUAACUUCGUGCCAGCCGCCGCAGUAAAAC
rnacentral:rRNA from 1 species